rnacentral:rRNA from 1 species
UACAGAGGGGGCAAGCGUUGUUCGGAAUUACUGGGCGUAAAGGGCGCGUAGGCGGCCUUCUAAGUCGAACGUGAAAUCCCCGGGCUCAACCCGGGAACUGCAUCCGAUACUGGAUGGCUUGAAUCCGGGAGAGGGAUGCAGAAUUCCAGGUGUAGCGGUGAAAUGCGUAGAUACCAGGAGGAACACCGGUGGCGAAGGCGGCUCACUGGCCCGGUACUGACGCUGAGGCGCGAAAGCGUGGGGAGCAAACAGG